UGUCUUCAUACAGACAAUGAGAAUCUGCUGACAAAAUGAGGAACCAAUGAUGUCCAAGCGUCAACUCUGCAGAGAAGAUGGAAGAAGACCUGGCGUCUGGACCAGAUGAAGAAAAAAAGAAGAGACAGCAGUGAAGACGUCUCCUAGAUCCCUGGAAACUGGCAAUCUCUCUGUCAAGUCUGGGACAUCGCUGCAAGCAAAUCUACAAGAUCGGAGAAAACGCAGCACAGAUCUUUUGACCCAAUUUCUCCAGAGUCUGGAAAUACCCCAUAUGUGGAUGUAACGUGCUGUACGGUCGCACAACAAGGUUCAGGAGGGACGGAGCAACUUAGGAGAGAGGAUUUGGCUGGAAUUUAAGUCAGGGGCCAUGUCGCCUCAACAAAGCUCCCAUGGUGCCAGAACAGUGGAAACUUUUAUUACAUACGACACCAUUUUGAAAACUACACCCCUCAAGAAAAGUA